rnacentral:lncRNA from 1 species
CACGGAGAAGAUCUCCAAUCCACAUCGUCUCUCCAACCUCAGUGCUAAUAAAUAUUGGCCAUCGACAGAGCGGAAGGUUAGCUACCCAUGAGUCCCAGGUGAUAUCGAUCGAGAGCCCAUCCCCCAUCUGCUAGGAUGUUGGGGCCUACAACUUAGGAGCAUCGGAGUAGAUCUCCUUCCAUUUGAAGGAGCAUCUCCAAUUGGCCUGAAUAUCCUCCACAGUGGUCUAGGAAUUGUACCUCGCAUGCAUCAUCAAACUCCAAGGGCUACCAAGCUAGAGCAAGAAUCUCGCAACAUGUUGAGCAAUCAGAGCCUCGUGCCGAACCACCAGAGACUGUAAGCCCAGGCCUC